rnacentral:rRNA from 1 species
CUCCCUAUGGACGGGAAUAACCUCGGGAAACUGAGAAUAAUACCCGAUAGAACAUUAUGCCUGGAAUGGUUUAUGUUUCAAAUGAUUUAUCGCCAUAGGAUGGGACUGCGGCCUAUCAGUUUGUUGGUGAGGUAAUGGCCCACCAAGACUAUUACAGGUACGGGCUCUGAGAGGAGUAGCCCGGAGAUGGGUACUGAGACACGGACCCAGGCCCUAUGGGGCGCAGCAGGCGAGAAAACUUUGCAAUGUGCGAAAGCACGACAAGGUUAAUCCGAGUGGUUUCUGCUAAAGAAACCUUUUGUCAGUCCUAGAAACACUGGUGAAUAAGGGGUGGGCAAGUUCUGGUGUCAGCCGCCGCGGUAAAACCAGCACCUCAAGUGGUCAGGAUGAUUAUUGGGCCUAAAGCAUCCGUAGCUCGUUUUGUAAGUUUUCGGUUAAUCCAUGCGCUUAACGUAUGGGCUGCCGGGAAUACUGCAUAACUAGGAAGUGGGNAGAGGUANACGGUACUCGCUAGGAAGGGGUAAAAUCCUUUGAUCUUUGAUGACCC